rnacentral:rRNA from 1 species
AAAGCAUCUAAGCGUGAAACCCGCCCCAAGAUAAGGUUUCCCUGGACGUAAGUCCCAGAAGGCCCCCGGAAGACUACCGGGUUGAUAGGCUGGGUGUGUAAGCAUAGUAAUAUGUUGAGCUAACCAGUACUAAUCGGCCGUGCGGCUUGGCCUUAUUUU